UCCAGGUAAAUCCGGUUCACUUUAACACUGAGGCGUGACGACGAGGCACUACGGUGCUGAAGCAACAAAUGCCCUGCUUCCAGGAAAAGCCUCUAAGCAUCAGGUAACACGAAAUCGUACCCCAAACCGACACAGGUGGUCAGGUAGAGAAUACCAAGGCGCUUGAGAGAACUCGGGUGAAGGAACUAGGCAAAAUGGUGCCGUAACUUCGGGAGAAGGCACGCUGACACGUAGGUGAAGUGAUUUACUCAUGGAGCUGAAGUCAGUCGAAGAUACCAGCUGGCUGCAACUGUUUAUUAAAAACACAGCACUGUGCAAACACGAAAGUGGACGUAUACGGUGUGACGCCUGCCCGGUGCCGGAAGGUUAAUUGAUGGGGUCAGCGUAAGCGAAGCUCCUGAUCGAAGCCCCGGUAAACGGCGGCCGUAACUAUAACGGUCCUAAGGUAGCGAAAUUCCUUGUCGGGUAAGUUCCGACCUGCACGAAUGGCGUAAUGAUGGCCAGGCUGUCUCCACCCGAGACUCAGUGAAAUUGAACUCGCUGUGAAGAUGCAGUGUACCCGCGGCAAGACGGAAAGACCCCGUGAACCUUUACUAUAGCUUGACACUGAACAUUGAGCCUUGAUGUGUAGGAUAGGUGGGAGGCUUUGAAGUGUGGACGCCAGUCUGCAUGGAGCCGACCUUGAAAUACCACCCUUUAAUGUUUGAUGUUCUAACGUGGACCCGUAAUCCGGGUUGCGGACAGUGUCUGGUGGGUAGUUUGACUGGGGCGGUCUCCUCCUAAAGAGUAACGGAGGAGCACGAAGGUUGGCUAAUCCUGGUCGGACAUCAGGAGGUUAGUGCAAUGGCAUAAGCCAGCUUGACUGCGAGCGUGACGGCGCGAGCAGGUGCGAAAGCAGGUCAUAGUGAUCCGGUGGUUCUGAAUGGAAGGGCCAUCGCUCAACGGAUAAAAGGUACUCCGGGGAUAACAGGCUGAUACCGCCCAAGAGUUCAUAUCGACGGCGGUGUUUGGCACCUCGAUGUCGGCUCAUCACAUCCUGGGGCUGAAGUAGGUCCCAAGGGUAUGGCUGUUCGCCAUUUAAAGUGGUACGCGAGCUGGGUUUAGAACGUCGUGAGACAGUUCGGUCCCUAUCUGCCGUGGGCGCUGGAGAACUGAGGGGGGCUGCUCCUAGUACGAGAGGACCGGAGUGGACGCAUCACUGGUGUUCGGGUUGUCAUGCCAAUGGCACUGCCCGGUAGCUAAAUGCGGAAGAGAUAAGUGCUGAAAGCAUCUAAGCACGAAACUUGCCCCGA
rnacentral:rRNA from 1 species